GACGAACCGUGCGACCGUUGUUCGGAAUCACUGGGCUUAAAGGGCGCGUAGGCGGGUUUGCAAGUCUGCGGUGAAAGCCCCCAGCUUAACUGGGGAAGUGCCGUGGAUACUGCGGACCUUGAGGAGGGUAGGGGCAUCUGGAACAUUGGGUGGAGCGGUGAAAUGCGUUGAUAUCCAAUGGAACUCCGGUGGCGAAGGCGAGGUGCUGGCCCUCCACUGACGCUGAGGCGCGAAAGCCAGGGGAGCAAACGGG
rnacentral:rRNA from 1 species